rnacentral:rRNA from 1 species
UUUUGGACAAUGGGCGCAAGCCUGAUCCAGCAAUGCCGCGUGAGUGAAGAAGGCCUUCGGGUUGUAAAGCUCUUUUGUCAGGGAAGAAACGGUGAGCUCUAAUACAGUUUGCUAAUGACGGUACCUGAAGAAUAAGCACCGGCUAACUACGUGCCAGCAGCCGCGGUAAUACGUAGGGUGCACGCGUUACCCCGGAAUUACUGGGCGUAAAGCGUGCGCAGGCGGUUAUGUAAGUCAGAUGUGAAAUCCCCGGGCUCAACCUGGGAAUGGCAUUUGAGACUGCAUGGCUAGAGUGUGUCAGAGGGGGGUAGAAUUCCACGUGUAGCAGUGAAAUGCGUAGAGAUGUGGAGGAAUACCGAUGGCGAAGGCAGCCCCCUGGGAUAACACUACGCUCAUCACGCAC